rnacentral:lncRNA from 1 species
AAAAAAAAAAAAGACAUAUACAACAAAAAAAUCUAUGAUGACAACCCUCCAAAAAUAUAUUGUUGUUAUUGAAAUGGUUUUGAAAAAUAAAAAUUUAUGACGGCCCCUCAGAAAAUGUCAAUGCUAUCAACUUUCAAUAAUUUGUUUUUUUUUAGGGAAACUUUCAAAUAGUUGUUGUUAUUGUAUAUUAUUACAAUGGCUAUUGUUACAUAUUUAAUUUGAAAGGACUAUUAUUGCAUAUUUGAAAUGUUGUUAUUACAUAUCAUAAUGGCUAUUAUUACAUAUUUAAUUUGAAAGGACUAUUAUUGCAUAUUUUAAAUGUUGUUAUUACAUAUCAUAAUGGCUAUUAUUGCAUAUUUGAAUGAUUAAUUAAUCAUUAUUAUCUAACACCCUUUCUCUCUUCUCACUGUAUCGGCCGCUGCCUAAAUUCUUAUCUCUGUCGCCCCUUCUUUCCAAAUUCCUUUGGUUCACAAUGUAAACGGCGGUGGUGGCUGAAGGUGCGAAGAUGGAACAACCAUCCGCAUCACCUCUAGUCACUGUUCUCUCGGCGCUGAUUUCGCAGAAAGAAUGUGUUCUUGGUGCGUUCUUGUUUUUUCCGGUGGGUACUCCGACGGCUGCGUUUUCCAAUAUCGUAGCUUGUGGUUGUGGUGGUUUUCAAGGUGGUUUUUGAUGGUUUCUUCAUCUCCUCUAUACGUUUCCAUGGUUUGUUUUAGUGGUUUUCAGAUAUGUUCCAUUUAUGGCUAUUUUCGAGCUAGUUUUUGGUGGGUUAAGUUUUUUUUUUUUUUUUUUGUGGUGGAUUGGUGGUGACUCUAUGGUGGUUAUGGGGUGGAUCGGUGGUGGUUAAGUGGUGUGGUUGUUGCGUCGGUGAGAGGUCGUUAUGGGGGUGGUGGUUAAUGGUUCACUAGUCGGCCAUAGGUGUGUGGUUGCGGUUAUGUGGUGUGUGUUGGACGAGGUUGUGGUGGCUUGGUGGUGGUGAGGUGUUUGUGGUUUGGAGGGUAUGGGUUGGUGGUUGUUGAGGAGUUCGUAGGUUAUUUUUUUGGCUAUGUUGGUUUGUGGUGCUUCGUGGUGGUUUCAAUGGUGGUGCUGGUACUAGGUCUUUUGUGGUGGUGCUCGUGGUGGUUUUUGGUGGUGAUGCUCGUGGUGGCUGGUGCUAGUUUUUGGUGAGGAUUAAUGAUGGUUUUUGUGGUGGUUAAUGGUAGUUUUGGUGGUGCUUGUGGUGGCUACGCUUUUUGUGUGUUUUCUUCUAUGAGUUUGUUGUUGAGGGGAUUUUCAAAUACAUGAUGUUAGACGGUGUUGCUUGUUUAAGGUGCGGUUACAUGAGUUUUUGGUAGGUUUGAUGGUUAUUGGAGAGGUUUUUCAACGGUAUGACACAAGAUUUGUUUCUGCUAUUGCGUAGGCGUUUAGACUUUGAUUUUUUUAGAUGAUUUCUUGGUUUGGUGUUUAGUCUCUAUUGGUUUCGAGGACCCUCCGUGAAGGGUGUUUUUGGUUUGUUUGUAGAAGUUUGUAUUUGAUACAUGGGUGUUUGUUUGUGUGUUCCGCAUAUAUACGGCACACUUUUCCUGUGUAUGUUGUUUUUUAAUUCUCCUAGCCUAGCAUUCCUUGUGCUUGCUAGAAUUCUUUGCAUGUUAAAUAAAUUUCAUUUUAGCUUCUUCAAAAAAAAAUCAUUAUUGUUGUAUAUUUUGUUGUGUGCU